rnacentral:lncRNA from 1 species
GUGGAAACUGCAGCUCCAGCUUCAGUUUUGCCCACAAACACACAGAAGACAGGACAGGGAAGGAGUCACAGCACAUGUGCCUGCAAGGAGAAAGAAGGGCAAGAGAACACCUCCUCUCCACCCACCAAGAGGGGAUAUGGGUUCAUCCCCAGAUGAAUCAGACCAUGAAGCCAUUUCUGAGCUAAAAAUCUCCAUGUUAUUGCUUCCCCCAGCUAUCCUCCCCCCUGUGUCCCCUCACCAUGACAGAUUUCAGCUCCCUCCUUCCCGUGGAAAAUACAGCUUUCAUCUAUCUGCAUAGUUGAGGAACAAAACUGUAAAUCCCCAUAUAGCACACAUCAUGUAACACACACUGCCACUUCCAUCACUGCUUACAAAGAUCUCUUGUGCUUUGGAUGGUGGUUGUAACAGGACCUUCCUUGUGAUAUAUGUGACACUGUCACAUCCUGCCUUUUCUUCUCCAAAAUUAAUUUCCCUCUCAGAAGCAAACUCAUCUGUUCUCAACACCCCUUGCUCCAGUGACACUGGACUGACUCAUCCUCAUCAGCAGAGAAUGGCACAGAGCUUUUGCAAGGAGACUAUGGGUGAAACCCUCAAGGGCAAAUAGCAUCAGCAGUGAAGCUGUGCUUGCAAAACCAUCUGCUUCCACCUUGCUCUGCUUUUUCCCCUCUCCAUCCCCUCACGGCUGGCUGCCUUCCUGUCUUGAGCCCCUCCGGCUGUUUGUUGCAGGGCAGCAGACCCUGUUCAUGGGGGAUCAUGACCCUCUGGGCUCCUUCCUCCUCUGCUCAGGGACACGUAGGAAGGAGGGAGGAGCAACCAGGAAACAUGGCCACGACCUCAGACAAUUUUAUGAACCAAAAGAACUCAAUCUCUCAUUUUCUCCACACUCUUUGCAUUAGGGUAAGGUUUACCUCUGACCCAUGUCAACGUCACCAAGAAUAUACCAUCUUUCCCAAGGCAUCCCCUUUUUCUCCCACUCUUUUCUGCUGCUCCCUUCUCACCCUGCUUGUCCUGAACCCACCUAUCCUCUUUCUGGCAUUUUCUUCCACCUCUGCUCAGCUUUUGUUUGAAAUGUUGAACACAACCACACACAUCACAGGAGGAGCAAAAGAGAACUGCCUGUGUGAGGUGGUUUCAUGUUGGAAAAAGGGAAGAUGAGAAGGGGAAGGGAAUGCAGAGCUCCCAGCCUGGAAGCGGCUCGGCAGAAUUCAGGUGGGCGCAGCAGAAACGCAAGUGAGGGCCUCCGGGAGCUGCCAGCAUGGGGCAGAUGGAGGCAGGAAGGGCAUUCCCUGCUGACUCAGGCCUGCCACCAGCACUGAUGAGCCCCACACCUCUGAUGAGUGCUGCACACCCCGGGUUUCGCUCAGGCCAGUGGCAGGGCGGAAAGACACCACCAGCCCACGCUGUCACCUCCCCGAUGGCUCAAGGAGUGCUUGCAAAAGUCAGCCUCUGACAUCCCAGCCAGCAGCCCAUGGGAGCACAGAGGGAGAGAAAAGCAAAGCUCAGGCUGCUUUGCACAGAAUGCUGAGGGGUUUCGCUGAGCCGGCUGUCUGCAGACACCUCCACCAGCAUGGGUUGGUUUGGUCACUAAGGAAAGCAGGGCAGGGGCUGGCAGUGGGAGCACAGUACUGUUCCAUGUCUCCAUGGCCUGGAGUUCCUGCAGAUGUCAUGGGGACUCCUGACAAAUGUGCACAAAAGCGGCUCAGGGAGCAGGCGAGCAGGGACUUGCUUUACAUCCCUGGGACUCCCCCAUGAUACAGAUGCUGUGGGUUUUACCCCCACACAGCUCAUUACCCCUUUAUUUUAAGCAGUUCACCUAGAGGCCAAGCAGCCAGGAGGAAGUAAUCUCUAAAACCACAAGAGAAACCUCCCACCAGGGGUGUGUACAAGAGCUGGAUGGGGAGGGGGAAAUAUUUGCAUUUACCUCAUCAAAAUCUCCAUAUAAAUGGGCUGAGAGGCGUCGGGCUUUCUCAGCUCCCAGGUGCAUGAAGCAGGGACAUCCAAGAGGAUGAUGGCAGCUCACUUCUUGCUGCAGUUCCUCCUCUUCGGGACUCUACUCGUCCCUGUGUACCUGCAGAUGGAAGGAUGUGAUUUUCUCCAGGAUGCAGUCAAGGGCAAUUUCUCAGUGACUGUGACACCUGAGGAGUAUGUGGCCAACACAACCUACCAGGUUACAAUAAGAGAUGACGGAAACAGCACCACCAUCAGAAAUGUGACCAUGUAUUUACUUCAAGCCUUGUCCUCUGAAAAUACCACUGCAGGAGAAUGGAAUGUAGUAGAAAAACUAAACUGCAGUAAUGUUGCGACAGCAAUGCUAAAUACCACUCAGGAAGAAGCAGCAGCAAACUGGACAUCUCCAAGCAGUAACAUAUCUUCCGUGGAAAUAAGGGCAUAUAUCAUCUAUGAAAACAAUAUCACUGAGUUCAAGACGGCGAUUCUGCAGGAAGUUCCACGAACAGAUCCAACCACAGCCUCGACAACCCCUGACUCCGUCUCCGCAGUCCAGAGCAGCUGCUUCUUCAUCGCCGUCACUCAGCUGCUGAUGCUCCUCACUACAAGCAAACUGCUCUCCUAGGAGAUGGGGAGAGGAGAUGACCCAGCUGUGGUGCUCCUCUCCUCACCCACGGCACAGGUGGGAGGGCAGGCAGCUGAUCUACUCAGGAAAAUCACUCACUUCUUAUGCGUAUCAAGAUGAUAACUGCACUUCUACAUUAGAUUAUAAGGGUCUAUGGCCACAGAGCUGAUCUCCCCUUACUCCCCUCAACCAGGGCCAGCACACACAGCAAGAUUAGCAAGUCAGAGAUCACUCUGGUCAGAACAGCUGGAGAAGGUGAUUUAGGAGCAGACCCCUUCUAACCAGGGGCACCGGAUGGGUUAAUCCUUUCCUCAACACCUGGGGUCCUGUGAAGCACAAAAAGAAAAGCAUGAAAAUGUUCAAGAGAGGGGAAAGGCCCCUCCCCAUCCCAGUACUGGUGUGUGCUGAGGAGCUGAAGGAGAGGUCUGUGAGCCACAGCCAGGGCAGAGCUAUACUGUGUCCUGCAAAGCUCCCUUGGUUUGGUUCUGGCUCUCUGGAAUGGUGGAGUGGGUGGGUUUUUUUCCUCCUUUUUUUGUUUGUUUGGGUUUUUUUUUGUUUUUAAUCAGCAGCAGUUCCUGCUGUGGGAUGAGAUUGGAUGGGCCCCUGAAUGUCUUGAUUUUAUUAUUAUUGUUUGUAUUUUUAUACGGAUGGAGUUUAUGAAGGAAAUUUCAAACUUCUGGAAAGUAAUUACUAUUAUUAUUAUUUUUUUUUUCUGAAGCGAAUCUAAAUAAACCAAAGAAUGAAAGCUGGCUGUCGCACUGAGCAGUGUUUUCUGGCUGGGACACGGCCGGGCUCCGGCCCUGACCAGCACAGUCUGCCCCUGCAGCUCAUGGCCAUGUUUAAGGGGAAUUUGCUUUCACCUGUCCUUGAACCCAGGGCACAGCCCUCAGCCCUGCGGGCUCCAGAGCCUGGCUGCCUCCCCAUGGUGUGCCCCUCUGCUCCCCACUGAGGCUCACAUUGCUCUGAAGUGGACAUAUCUCACUCGAGUCCACUUUUGUUCAGAUUUUGUCUCAAAAAGCCGUGAUUUGCCUCAAAGAAGAGAUAUUUCUCCCUCUCACAGCUGGGCUUUGCAAGGCGGUAGUGAAGCCCUGCUGAUUUCCACUUAUUCCCACCCCUGGAGGGCUAUGGGAUGGCUGCUUUGUAAAGUCAGCAGUCCCAAACACAAAAUUAAGCACAGUAUUAUGAAUGGUAUUUCCACUGCAUCAUGUAUGGAGUGAUCAACACAGCUGUGGAAUGUUUCACAGAAUAUCACUGAAAUACACUUGCAUGGCCCAGCUAUUACAGUUGCCUUCUGUUUUGCAGGCAGGUUAAUUAGCAGCUCCCGAGCAACCAGAAUAAUGUCACCAUUCACUACAGCAGCACACUGCACUCGGUAAAAUCCUACUUAGUGCAGUAGACUGCCUUUCUACUCUAAUCUUCCUGUCAAUAUGAUUAUCUGGUCAGAUAACAGCUCACAUAAUAGGUAUCAAAUCCCCUCCAGGUAACCUUGCAGCAACACCCUGUUACCAGGCUUAGGGUGGAGAGCAGGCUGGGAUGCUGAGCACUAGGUUGCACCAUUCCCUAUGUGCAGAGAAUGAGGAACCCCCCCCCCCCAUGCUUACAACAGCCCUUUUUCUCACAAAAUGGCUCCAGCUCCCUGUCCUGGCUCUUCUGCUGGUUAAGCAUUACCAGAAUGGCUGCAGCUGUGAGCAACAAAGCUCUGCAGCAGUUCCCCACCCUUCCCCUGAUUGCUGCACCUUCAUGCCACCCAGGGAAGCUCAGUGCUUUGUGGAAAUCAGAACAACCCCAAUUUCUUGGAGUGCAGACUUAACCUUUUACUGCUAUUUCUCACCCUCGAUACAGAAGGAAGUGCAUCACUCGUUCUGAGAGCAGAUUAAACAUCAGGAUUAAACAUUAACCUUCCUUGCUCCAUUUCCACCCCUGCAGAACAAGGGGCAGCUCCAGCCCUGCUCCCUGCUGCCCCAUCUCUCCCAGCUCCGAGGACAGAACACGUGGAGUGGAAUGGCUGUGCCAUACCCCUGCACAUUUCUGCAUCGCUUCGAGAGCAGCCAUUGAUUUUCCCAAGCCCUGCUGCAGUGAGGGAACAAACAGCUCCUGCCUCCGGCACAGUGAUAGCCAAAGGGCUGCUGACCCUCCCAUCCUAAUGGCUUUAUGGCAUUUAGGGACACACACACCCAGGGCAAUAAAAGGAGCAUCGGAUGGCAGGACAAAGCAUGCAAACAUCAGAAAAUGCCCCAACCACUGCUCAGCCACACAUCAACACCCCUGUACGUGCGGUGCGACCACGCGCUCCUUCCCCCUCUGAGCACACAGGAUGCGGUGCAAUGGCAGAGCCAGCGCUCCCCGCUCCCCAGCACUGCCCUCCCCACUGCACACGGGGCCCAGAACCACACGCCACGAGCUGGGAACUGCAGCCUGACCUCAGGAGGAAGAGCUGGGCUGCCCCAUCGGGCACACUGUGUGGAUUAUUCAUUAACGUGGUCAUUGUUGGGGCUACAGCGAAAUACAAACAACACCCUUGGGAGUGGCACUGAACUUGGCUCAGCCCCAAUACUUGCCCCCACCCCGCAACACUGCCCCUGUGUGGGGCAG